rnacentral:rRNA from 1 species
GCGAACGCUGGCGGCAGGCUUAACACAUGCAAGUCGAACGGGCGUCCUUCGGGGCGUCAGUGGCAGACGGGUGAGUAACACGUGGGAACAUACCCUUCGGUUCGGAACAACUCAGGGAAACUUGAGCUAAUACCGGAUACGCCCUUCGGGGGAAAGAUUUAUCGCUGAAGGAUUGGCCCGCGUCUGAUUAGCUAGUUGGUGAGGUAAUGGCUCACCAAGGCGACGAUCAGUAGCUGGUCUGAGAGGAUGAUCAGCCACACUGGGACUGAGACACGGCCCAGACUCCUACGGGAGGCAGCAGUGGGGAAUAUUGGACAAUGGGCGCAAGCCUGAUCCAGCCAUGCCGCGUGAGUGAUGAAGGCCUUAGGGUUGUAAAGCUCUUUCGACGGGGACGAUAAUGACGGUACCCGUAGAAGAAGCCCCGGCUAACUUCGUGCCAGCAGCCGCGGUAAUACGAAGGGGGCUAGCGUUGCUCGGAAUCACUGGGCGUAAAGGGCGCGUAGGCGGCCAUUCAAGUCAGGGGUGAAAGCCUGGAGCUCAACUCCAGAAUUGCCUUUGAUACUGUUUGGCUUGAGACCGGAAGAGGUAAGUGGAACUGCGAGUGUAGAGGUGAAAUUCGUAGAUAUUCGCAAGAACACCAGUGGCGAAGGCGGCUUACUGGUCCGGUUCUGACGCUGAGGCGCGAAAGCGUGGGGAGC